UAUCUCGGACACGGGUGGGCUGUGUC
rnacentral:sRNA from 1 species